rnacentral:rRNA from 1 species
AUUGAACGCUGGCGGAAUGCUUUACACAUGCAAGUCGAGCGGCAGCGCGGGGGCAACCCUGGCGGCGAGCGGCGAACGGGUGAGUAACAUAUCGGAACGUACCCCGUCGUGGGGGAUAACACAGCGAAAGCUGUGCUAAUACCGCAUACGACCUGAGGGUGAAAGCGGGGGAUCGCAAGACCUCGCGCGAUGGGAGCGGCCGAUAUCGGAUUAGCUUGUUGGUGAGGUAAAGGCUCACCAAGGCGACGAUCCGUAGCUGGUCUGAGAGGACGACCAGCCACACUGGAACUGAGACACGGUCCAGACUCCUACGGGAGGCAGCAGUGGGGAAUUUUGGACAAUGGGGGGCAACCCUGAUCCAGCCAUUCCGCGUGAGUGAAGAAGGCCUCGGUUGG